CGAGGUUUAGCAAAUCUCUUAAAGCCGUUCUCAGUUCGGAUUGUAGGCUGCAACUCGCCUACAUGAAGUCGGAAUCGCUAGUAAUCGCGGAUCAGCAUGCCGCGGUGAAUACGUUCCCGGGCCUUGUACACACCGCCCGUCACACCAUGAGAGUUUGUAACACCCAAAGCCGGUGGGGUAACCUUUUGGAGCCAGCCGUCUAAGGUGGGACAGAUGAUUGGGGUGAAGUCGUAACAAGGUACC
rnacentral:rRNA from 1 species